rnacentral:rRNA from 1 species
UACGUAGGGUGCAAGCGUUGUCCGGAAUUAUUGGGCGUAAAGAGCUCGUAGGCGGUUUGUCGCGUCGGGCGUGAAAACCCAGGGCUUAACCCUGGGCUGGCUUCCGAUACGGGCAGACUAGAGGUAUGCAGGGGAGAACGGAAUUCCUGGUGUAGCGGUGAAAUGCGCAGAUAUCAGGAGGAACACCGGUGGCGAAGGCGGUUCUCUGGGCAUUACCUGACGCUGAGGAGCGAAAGUGUGGGGAGCGAACAGG